GAUGAACGCUGGCGGCGUGCCUAAUACAUGCAAGUCGAGCGAACAGAUGAGGAGCUUGCUCCUCUGACGUUAGCGGCGGACGGGUGAGUAACACGUGGAUAACCUACCUAUAAGACUGGGAUAACUUCGGGAAACCGGAGCUAAUACCGGAUAAUAUAUUGAACCGCAUGGUUCAAUAGUGAAAGACGGUUUUGCUGUCACUUAUAGAUGGAUCCGCGCCGCAUUAGCUAGUUGGUAAGGUAACGGCUUACCAAGGCAACGAUGCGUAGCCGACCUGAGAGGAGGAUGAGAAAACUGGGAAAUGAGACACGGUCGAGAGUACUACGGGAGGCAGAAGGGGGGAAUAGUGGACAAUGGGCGAAAGCCUGAUACAGACAUACAGAGUGGGUGAAGAAGGCAUUCGGGUUGUAAAGCCGUUUUGUUGGGAAAGAAAAGAAGCAGGUUAAUACCCCGCUGUUAUGACGGGAACAAAAGAAUAAGCAAAGGCUAACUUCGUG
rnacentral:rRNA from 1 species